CCUGGUUGAUUCUGCCAGUAGUCAUAUGCUUGUCUCAAAGAUUAAGCCAUGCAUGUCUAAGUAUAAGCAAUUAUACAGCGAAACUGCGAAUGGCUCAUUAUAUAAGUUAUCGUUUAUUUGAUAGUACCUUACUACUUGGAUAACCGUGGUAAUUCUAGAGCUAAUACAUGCUAAAAAUCCCGACUUCGGAAGGGAUGUAUUUAUUAGAUUAAAAACCAAUGCCCUCUGGGCUCUCUGGUGAUUCAUGAUAACUUCUCGAAUCGCAUGGCCUUGCGCCGGCGAUGGUUCAUUCAAAUUUCUUCCCUAUCAACUUUCGAUGUUUGGGUAGUGGCCAAACAUGGUUGCAACGGGUAACGGAGGGUUAGGGCUCGACCCCGGAGAAGGAGCCUGAGAAACGGCUACUACAUCCAAGGAAGGCAGCAGGCGCGCAAAUUACCCAAUCCCGACACGGGGAGGUAGUGACAAUAAAUACUGAUACAGGGCUCUUUUGGGUCUUGUAAUUGGAAUGAGUACAAUUUAAAUCCCUUAACGAGGAACAAUUGGAGGGCAAGUCUGGUGCCAGCAGCCGCGGUAAUUCCAGCUCCAAUAGCGUAUAUUAAAGUUGUUGUGGUUAAAAGCUCGUAGUUGAACCUUGGGCCUGGCUGGCCGGUCCGCCUCACCGCGUGUACUGGUCCGGCGCGGGCCUUUCCCUCUGUGGAACCCCAUGCCCUUCACUGGGUGUGGCGGGGAAACAGGACUUUUACUUUGAAAAAAUUAGAGUGCUCCAGGCAGGCCUAUGCUCGAAUACAUUAGCAUGGAAUAAUGAAAUAGGACGUGCGGUUCUAUUUUGUUGGUUUCUAGGACCGCCGCGUAAUGAUUAAUAGGGACAGUCGGGGGCAUCAGUAUUCAAUUUGUCAGAGGUGAAAUUCUUGGAUUUAUUGAAGACUAACUACUGCGAAAGCAUUUGCCAAGGAUGUUUUCAUUAAUCAGGAACGAAAGUUAGGGGAUCGAAGACGAUCAGAUACCGUCGUAGUCUUAACCAUAAACUAUGCCGACUAGGGAUCGGACGAUGUUAUUUUUUGACUCGUUCGGCACCUUACGAGAAAUCAAAGUGCUUGGGCUCCAGGGGGAGUAUGGUCGCAAGGCUGAAACUUAAAGAAAUUGACGGAAGGGCACCACCAGGGGUGGAGCCUGCGGCUUAAUUUGAC
rnacentral:rRNA from 1 species